rnacentral:lncRNA from 1 species
GGUGACAACUGAAGCAGCAUCCUUCCAGCCCACCAUCUGCAUUCUGCGUCGAAUGACAUCAAGAGGGUAAGCAACCGUCUGGCCAAUGGUUCCAGCAGCAGCUCCACAUGCAAGCCUUGUUGUGACACCCAGUUCAGAGUCCUCAACUAGCCCAAGGGGUUUCCUUUUGAUCAGCCAAUCUUUCAGAGAUUCAUAAACAGCAAAAUUAAGACCGACGUAAGGUACAUAUAAACAUCAUAAAAGUCAUUUAGGCCUUUGCAUACAAACAUAAGGAGAAUGAUUCUUCCCUUAUUGAAGGCCAAAACAGAUGCAAAGUGAAAGGGAAUAGACCAUUGUUUGCCAAUGAACAGCUAUGUGCAAUAACGAACCCAACACAUAAGCAGAAAUUUAGGAAGGGCUAGAAACAGAACGCAUCAUCCUAGCAGAUGUCUACGUCUAUCUGAAUGCAGAUUCCUGAAGUGCAAUAGAAAUUAAAGAGUGCAGGUUUCAACGCCAUAAGAGUUUUACUUACAACUCCUAUUACAGAUGGUAACCAGCCUUUGUACAAUGCACGGGGUCCUUCUUCCCUUAAUACUGUUAAAAGAGCAUGAAAGAUUCCUCUAUAUUGGCGAGGCAACUUCUCAGUCUGCAAAUAUAACACAUGAACAUUAG